rnacentral:lncRNA from 1 species
AGGAAAACAGCAACAACAAAAAAGAGCAGGGCGAGAGAACACAGCAACGGUACCUGCAGCGCUGGUCCACGUCUGCCCUGGAUCCCUCCGGCACGGGCGAGGGGGACUGCAACGUCCCGCGACGUGGAAUAUUCCCUGACAGCAGCAGCCCGGCUCUGUCUAGCUGGCCUUCCACCUUCCCUUCGCUGCCAUGUUCACCGAGGGUGGUGGGCGGGAAGGGGGUGGGAAUGGAAGGGGGGGGUCUGGCUCAAGGGGAUAAGAAAGCUAUUAGGAGGCAGCCCUGUAGCAUCCACACAGAAUGUAUAAUGGAAUUAGCUGAGAGGGCUGCUUCUGCUGGCUAGUCUAGCAGCUAGUGUGUGAGCGAGCGGCUGACUGCGUGCGUGUGUGUGCAUGCGUGUGUCAGAGAGAGAGAGAAAGAGAGAGAGAGAGAGAGAGAGAAAGACAGCGAGCGAGUAUGAUUGUGGAUGCUUAGGGGGCGGAGGACAGGGGCUUCGCAGAGGGGAGCCGUCGAGCUGGGAGACCACCUGCUCCAGCACUUUCAAGCAGAACGCACACACACAAAAAGAGGGAUGACAGCAACUUCUGUGCUUUGCUCUCAGCCAGCGCACGUUGGGAUGAGGGACAGCCGGGCCCAUCUCUCCGCGCCACCCUGGGGGCAACAGCUUCGCAGCCUGCGUUGAAUAACAGCCGACUCCCCAUCUAUCACAGCUCCUGCCCCCCCAGCCAUACUGUGCCACCAAACGAACACUUCACCGCGACGACACAGGACAGAAAAAAGGCUGACCUAAACAGGGUCCAUGCUUGUGCACACGCCCCCACCUUGCCACAUGUCACAGCCCAUGACAAUCAAAACCGGUAACCUUGGUAACGCUGAGUGGCGUUCCGAAUGCGUGCAGCAUGGAAUGACUACUGAAAAACAUACACAUAAGUGUCCUUUCAUAGACUUAUUUAUAUGCAUGCGUUUGUACAUUUCUCGAGGAUAGGUUUGAGGAGACACAUCAAUGUUGCACAGUACGUGAGCGGUGGAGGACAGCUGUCUGGGUGCGCAACGACUCCCACACGCCUUUGAUUUUCAGACGAAGACGAACGCACCCCUCAUUAGGGCACCGGGCUCCCGGGAUCACAGCAAUCUCGGCCUUUUAUCAGGGCGCAGUGCUGCCGGUGCAGAUUUGAAUAGAAUUUACGGCUGCUGGGAGUAGAGUCGUGAACUCGGGAUUAUUACAAGGCCAUGCUCACAUUGGAGUGGGCUGGGCAGGGCUCCAUUGGAUUGGGGUUGAGUUAGUGUCCAAAUUAACGUUUUGUUGGGUUUUGUCAGGUUGGGUUAACCAGGUUAGCGCUGACUGGGAUUUCAGUUAAAUUUAGGCUGCGUUAUAUUUUGUUAGGGUUGAGUUAGGGCUGUCUUAUGUCAUGCUGGGUGUGGAUUAGGCUGGGUUGGAUUUCGGUUGAAGUAGGGUUGAUUUAGGGUUAGGCUGAGCUGUGUUUUUUAGGGUUGAAUUAUACUUGGGUUGGGUUUUGAUAGCGUUAGGGUUGGGCUGGGCUGGGUUGAAACAGAGCUUAACUAAUUUUUGGGUUGGGGUUAGGGUUUGGUUGUAAUAGGCUAGGACAGAUUGGAAUAGGGUUAGGGUUUGGGUUACAGUGUGAUUGGCUGCCCCCUUAUUGCUGUGGUUAUAAAUUUAUAGAAUUCAUUUUGUGGUUUUGAACUACAGAAUUUAAAACGCAUGAAAUUAUAUGCAUUUAAAUUUUGUUUUCAGUUUUGUUCAUUGAGAAUUACGUUGACAUCUGGGUUUCACAGCAGUACAGAGGCACUAAACCCCACAAGCCACUGCGCCGUGCUUUUGUCCAGCCCAUAACAUAUGACAGUUCUUCGCGGACAGUGGAGGACCAACUUGCAUUCGGAAAGUUGGAAAUAAAUCCCGAUACUCCCGAUAGUGUCUGAUUCUG